rnacentral:rRNA from 1 species
UACGUAGGGUGCGAGCGUUGUCCGGAAUUAUUGGGCGUAAAGAGCUCGUAGGCGGUGUGUCGCGUCGGCCGUGAAAACCUGCAGCUUAACUGUGGGCGUGCGGUCGAUACUGGCAUCACUGGAGUUCGGCAGGGGAGACUGGAAUUCCUGGUGUAGCGGUGAAAUGCGCAGAUAUCAGGAGGAACACCGGUGGCGAAGGCGGGUCUCUGGGCCGAUACUGACGCUGAGGAGCGAAAGCGUGGGGAGCGAACAGG